AUGAGAAAAGGGCAGGGAACAAUCUCCCAAGUUUCCAUUCCUAGUUUUGCUCUUAAUUUAGUUUUUAAAUUUUUUGGCGCCAAAAUAGAAAAAUACUCUCUCCCCUAAAUUUCAAAAUUCAAGACUCCUUCCAUGGCAUUGUGAACCAGUUUUCUGCCUCAGUCAUGGAGAAGGGUCUGAUAUCAGUGGACCGGUGGACCGGAGAUAGCCAGGCCUACUUCCUGACUCACCUCCAUUCCGAUCACACCAAAGGCCUUUCUUCUUCAUGGGCCAAGGCUCCAAUUUUCUGCUCUCGCCUCACCGCCAAGCUCUUCCCCUUCAAAUUCUCAGAUUUUGACCUCUCUCUUCUUCGCAUUGUCCGAAUCGGUUCAUGGCACUCCAUUUCUCUUGUUUCGCCUUCCAGCGGUUCAAAGGCCGUCAUCCAGUUUAUGGCCAUCGACGCUCACCAUUGUCCCGGUGCUGUUAUGUUCUUGUUUCGUGGAGACUUUGGCAGUUUGCUGUAUACUGGUGAUUUUCGAUGGGAAACAACUAGUGACAGGGUUAAGAUGGGAAUGAACAUGCUUCUGAGUUCUUUGAAUGAUGCUGCGGUUGACAUUCUAUACUUGGAUAAUACAUACUGCAAUCCUUCGUAUGAUUUCCCGCCUCGAGAAGUUGCUGCCCAGCAGGUUGUUGAUAUAAUUGCUUCGCAUCCGGACCAUGAUAUCAUCAUUGGGAUUGAUUCUUUGGGGAAAGAAGAUCUUUUGCUUCACAUUUCACAGGUGCUUAAGAUAAAGAUUUGGGUGUGGCCAGAACGCUUGCAAACCAUGCAUCUUCUUGGGUUUGAUGAGAUAUUCACAACUAAGACUUCCCUUACUAGAGUUCGAGCUGUUCCUCGUUACAGCUUUAACAUUGAAACCUUAGAAGGUUUGAAUUCAAUGCGACCAACAAUUGGGAUCAUGCCAUCUGGUCUUCCAUGGAUGGUAAGACCUUCAGAAGGAAAAGACAAUCUUUUCGGUUCUCUACUAACUACUCGGUAUAACAAAAGUAAAUGGGCUGGAAAUGAUGGUGUCCAGAUGGAUAAGCCAAAUGGAAGUUCAGAAUCUCCCAUCAAGCUUCAUAAAUACAUUUAUACCGUUGGUUACUCUGAUCACUCAUCCUAUUCUGAGAUAGAGAAGUUUAUAAAGCUUGUUCAGCCAAUCAACAUGAAAGGCAUUGUGUCAUCAUCGUGUUGCUAUGUUGAUCCUAUGUACUACUUUGGCCGCCUUUGUGGGGUAAACCAACCAGCACAAAGCUUACAUCAAAAGCAAAAAAGGCAAGAGCGAGAUGAAAUAACUUUGGGGACAAAAUCUACCUUUGGCAGGAAUUUUUUUACAGAAGUUGAGAGAAGAAAGAGUGUGAAGGUCAAGCUUUUAAGUGUACGAGCGAACAGGGUAAGAGCCUAUAGACGAGUAAGAUCUGGUGCAAAGAUUCUAGAUGAUGACUGUCCGGACUGACUAAAAUUCUCAAAUUUCUUUCUUCAUACUGCGUACUCUCCAGUUUGUAAAGCACAUUCAUGUCUCUAGGAAGUAAAGAGAGAUCAUUACGGGGUCCAUUAUAGUUCUCCUCAAAUGUAUGCACCGCAAAUAACAACUAUGUUUCUCUAAAACCAAAGGUACUUCAGUUACCAUUAUCAAAAAAGAAAAAAAAAACUUCGGUUAUCCAUUCAUUUAUCUUUAUUUAUUUAUUUUUGUUAGCAAUUCAUCUUUAUUUUACUUUACAUUGAUGUGAACCUAGGAUUAAUAUAUGUAAAAUUGUUAGGAUUAGGAGGGGCACAGAGGAAAAUUAUAAUUUGAAAAAGCAUAGGUUAAAACUUGAAAUUUUAGAUGUUGGGAAGAUAGCCCAAAUUUUUAUA